rnacentral:misc_RNA from 1 species
AACGCACAUUGCGCCCCUUGGUAUUCCUAGGGGCAUGCCUAUUCGAGCGUCGUUUCCACCCUCAAGCGCAAGCUUGGUGUUGGGGAUCGCCCCUCCCCCCGGGGAGGCGGCGGCCCUUGAAUCCAUCGGCGGUGCCGGUGCGGCCUGGAGCGCAGCAGCGAUGCAGCUUCCUUGGGCCCGCCCGACGCCUGCCGCGAACGACGGACGACCCCUCGCGGGUCGGACGCAACCCCCCCAAACGUCGACCUCGAAUUAGGUAGGGAUACCCGCUGAACUUAA